AGCGAACGCUGGCGGCGUGCUUAACACAUGCAAGUCGAGCGAAGGUGUUUCAAGGGUAACCUUGAGAUACACUUAGCGGCGGACGGGUGAGUAAUACGUGGAUAACUUACCUCUAGGCCUGGGAUAACCCCGGGAAACUGGGGCUAAUACCUGAUAAGACCACAUUGUCUACGGACAAAGGGGUAAAAGGUGGCUGUGCAAACAGCUAUCGCCAAAAGAUAGGUUCACGUCCCAUCAGGCAGUUGGUGAGGUAAUGGCUCACCAAACCAAAGACGGGUAGCCGGCCUUGGCGGGUGAACGGCCACACGGGGACUGAGACACGGCCCCGACUCCUACGGGAGGCAGCAGUGGGGAAUAUUGGGCAAGUGGGCGCAAGCCUGACCCAGCGACGUCGCGUU
rnacentral:rRNA from 1 species